rnacentral:miRNA from 1 species
AUGUGCAUUAGCUGUGGGAUCC